AGAGGUGGCUUCGCCAGGCUUCAUGACGUCAGAUUCGUGAUGAUAAAUCUUUUUCUUGCGGCAGCCAUUAAAAUCCUCGGUUACCGUUCAAUAAAAUUGACAAAUUUGGCUCUUUUGAUUGUGUUUUACUAUUAAUAACAACAAUCUUCACCUGAUAUAUCACCCAUGAGAAGGCGAACAAUUUGCAUCAAUGAUAUUAAGAGUUGGAAGAGUGACUUUGGUGUGAGGAAAACCACCCGGCCGAGGUUCAAGUCUAAUAGGGGCAAAAGGAUACUUGAACACUGCCCAUAUCUGUCAGUUACAAGGAUCUGCA